rnacentral:piRNA from 1 species
UUGACAAAUACAUUGGAGUUU